CAGCAGCCACGGUAAGACGAACCGUGCUAACGUUACUCGGAAUCACUGGGCUUAAAGCGCACGUAGGCGGCGACAUAAGUUAGAGGUGAAAUCCCAUCGGCUCAACCGUGGAACUGCCUCUAAUACUGUGUCGCUUGAGGGAGAACGGGGCAUUCGGAACUUCCGGUGGAGCGUUGAAAUGUGUUGAUAUCGGAAGGAACGCCGGUGGCGAAAGCGGAGUGCUGGGUCUCUUCUGACGCUGAGGUGCGAAAGCUAGGGUAGCGAACGGGAUUAGAUACCCCCGUAGUCCCUGUCUCUUAUA
rnacentral:rRNA from 1 species